UACCAAGUCUGAGCCUAGAAAACAGCAAAGGUUUAAAGCCAAAUGAACAGAUCUAACAUGCAGUCAAAUUUAUUCUUUUCUAUUACAAUUUCUUUUUCCACCACAUAAAUAAUUUUAGUAAGAAACAUGAGCAAUUUUUUUACUUUUGCUUCUUAGUAACGGAUAAGUGGGCCAAAUACAUUUAUGAGAGCAGGGAUGCUGUGUGGGCAUUGGGGUCACAGCAAACUCUUUUUGGGGGUGGUCGACUCUGCAACAUGUCUGAUGCCCCGUGGGUGUUGGUGAGGGACCCCAUAACCAGGGGCUCUCUUCAGGAACCAGCAUAUGGGCAUUGACCUCUGGAGACCUUUUUCAGCUGCCGGAAAUUUUUUCAGAUAAUGUGACUGAAAAACCACUUCAGCUGGUGAUAAUUAGGGAAUAAAGGAAGAGGAAAAGGGCUUGGAUUAGAUUAGAAGAGAAGGACAGAGUAUCAGGGAACCUGGGGGCUUGGCAGUGGGUCCUUGGGAGAGAGGGGAGCAGAGGUGGGGAGGGGCACGGCUCUGGAACCAGCUCCUGCACCUGUCCCAGGGCCCAAGUCACACAGCUUUAAAUUGGCCUAGGACGCUUUCCUGUCUGGAUGUCACCCUGGGCAGAACCUUGAGAAUCGAAGGUAAGGGGUGGGCAGCACUCACCUAGGGGAUCACUGAGGACUUCGUUCAAGUCCACGGUGCCUUUUCUGGUCAUGUGUCUUCACUUGCCCUUUAUCUUAGGAUCUGAGGAGCAGGAGCAAGGAACGCAGGGAGAGAUUCAGGAAGACAUCUGACUGUGUUAAGAGACGACAGUCACAGCCACACGGGGAGCGAGGACACUUGCAGCAAAGUAAAACGACUUCACAACUAUUGCAUCAGAGCUGCCGGUGUGAGAGAGCCUAAGCCUGUCUCAGAGUGCAGGGGACAAGUGGAAAGGAAUGUGUAAGAAUGCUGGUGACUGAGUUAGAAGCAUGCUUCGAAGCUGUCCAUGUCCUUGCCAUCCAGAAGCGGAGCCUGGGAGCUACCGAAUUUCUCCAGAAUGCGGUUUACAUUCAUCUUCGACAGCAUUCCUAGGAGAGAAUUCAGCAGUGCAGCAUCCUCUCCGAGCUCUAUGAGUUGAUCGGCUUCCACCGCAAGUCCGCCUUCUUCAAGCGGGUGGCCCCCGUGCAGCGCGCGGCCCCCGGCAUCCCGGAGCCUGGCGGGAAGGUCUUCUACCGACUCCUUCUGCAGACGCUUCCUGGCUACAGUCUGUCGCUGGAUCUGCAGGACUUCAGCAAAGGUGUUGGAACUAAAACAUUGCUUCAGUCCCAUUAACCAUGCCUGGUUUGGGCCCUGCUGUCCUGUCUCAUCAGGGUGAAUUCUGAUUCGUUUAGAAUAGGACUCAGCAGACUUUUUCUGUCAAGAGCUUGGGAGUAAAUAUUUCAGGGUCUGCAAACCUCCUGAUCUCUGGUGCAGCUGCUCAGCUCUGCUGUUCAGACGCCAGAGCAUCCGGACAUUCCACACACCCACAGAGCUUUAUUAACAGCGGUGUCUGGGGCUGGAUUCAGUGUAUGAACUGCAGUUUGUCCCCACAGCCUCCUCACUAUUGACGCCUGCACCAGAGCAUGCAUUUGCGACAAUGGGUGAACCUGCACUGACACGUCAUCAUCACCCAGAGCCCAGACUUAACACUAGGAUUUACACUUGGUGGUGUGCACUCUGUGGGUUUGGACAUAUGUGCAAUGACAUGUAUCCACAGCAUCAUACAGAGUAGUCUGUCUUAGUGACCUUAAAAUGCUCCGUGCUGCACCUCAUUCAUUGCUCCUUCCCCUCUAGCCUCUGACAGCCACUGAUCUUUUAGUCUCUGUGGUUUUCCCUUUCCCAGAACACCAUACAGUUGGAAUCAGACAGUUGCGGAACCUUCCCAGAUUGGCUUCUUUCACUUAGUAAUAUGCAUUUAAGGUUCCUCCAUGUCUUUCCAUGCCUUGAUAACUCAUUUCAUUUUAGCACCAAAUAAUAGUCCAUUUUCUGGCUGGACCACAGUUAAUCCAUUCACCUACUGAAGAACAGCUUAGUUGCUUCUGAGUUCUGGUGAUUAUGAAUAAAGCUGCUAUUAACAUCUGUA